GACGAACGCUGGCGGCGUGCUUAACACAUGCAAGUCGAACGGAAAGGCCCUGCUUUUGUGGGGUGCUCGAGUGGCGAACGGGUGAGUAACACGUGAGUAACCUGCCCUUGACUUUGGGAUAACUUCAGGAAACUGGGGCUAAUACCGGAUAGGAGCUCCUGCUGCAUGGUGGGGGUUGGAAAGUUUCGGCGGUUGGGGAUGGACUCGCGGCUUAUCAGCUUGUUGGUGGGGUAGUGGCUUACCAAGGCUUUGACGGGUAGCCGGCAUGAGAGGGUGACCGGGGACCAUGCGCCUGAGAUACGGCCCAGACUGCUACAGGAGGCAGCGGUCGGGAAUAUUACACAAUGGGCGGAAGCCUAUGGCAGCGACGCCGCGGGUGGGAUGUAGGCUUUCGGGUUGUAAACCGCUUACGCCUGUGACGAAGGGUGAGUGACGGUACUGGGAGAAGAAGCACCGGCUAACUCCGUG
rnacentral:rRNA from 1 species